CAGUCGCCACGGUAAUACGAACCGUGCGAACGUUAUUCGGAAUUACUGGGCUUAAAGCGCGUGUAGGCGGGCCGCCACGUCGGUUGCUGAAAUCCCCCGGCUCAACCGGGGAAGUGGCAUCGAUACGAGCGGCCUUGAGGGGGGUAGGGGGAUCUGGAACUUCCGGUGGAGCGGUGAAAUGCGUUGAGAUCGGAAGGAACGCCCGUGGCGAAAGCGAGGUCCUGGACCCUUUCUGACGCUGAGACGCGAAAUCCAGGGGAGCGAACGGGAUUAGAGACCCCAGUAGUCCCUGUCUCUUAUA
rnacentral:rRNA from 1 species